rnacentral:tRNA from 1 species
GUUAAUGUAGCUUAAACAAUAAAGCAAGGCACUGAAAAUGCCUAG